UUAUGUGUGAUGUUUGGCGAUCUGUCAGAGAAGGCGUGUUUUUCGUUUCUUGGAUUGUACUUAGAAAUAAUCAUUCUUUACGAUUAUCUGAAAGGCUUGAAAGAUACAAGCUCUGCACUGCGACGAUAUCAGGCAGCAGUGAUUAUUGACUAGGAUAAGCAAUGAAUGGUCUUUCACUAAGAAUUUCUGCAAUCAAAACAAACGAAAAUUUAAAGAAAAAUUGUGAACUGCGGAUGGAUUUACUCACUGUGCCUUCGACUUUGUUGUCCUGCAAUGACAACAACAAAUAUAUAUCCGGAUUGGCAUCCGCAACUACAGUUGAUGAUCAAAUUAAAACUCUAAAACAAUACUUUUCUUACACCACCGAAAUGGAAAAGUCGCUGCUACAAAACAUUCAAAUAUUGUCUGAUUUAUUCAUGGAAGCUCCAACAAAGCAUGCAGUUAAGAAUACCAUAAUGAAGAUUUGCAAAUGCCUCCUGUAAAAGAAAAAAAAAACACACGAAAUAAGCUUAAGAAAGUUACCCAAGCAAACCAUUGUUUUUUUGCAAGCAGUUGACUUAGUCAAACUUUUCGACACCCUCAGCAAACGUCAAAUCAGUACAAAAAA